CCAAAAAUCUGUGGGCUAUCUGUACAUUCAGGGACAAAAGUUGGUGAGCUUAUCGCUAACAUGGACCCAUCUUUAGAGCAAACUCCCCCUAAAAAAGUCCCAUUGUCUGUACUCAAACAAAUAUUGGCAUAGCUGGAGGAUAAGAGCAAGAAAAAAGAUAAAGCCUAGCCAACAUAACAAUCAGCAAUGGCAUAAAAACAUAGCUCCCACAUUAAUUGCAACGCCACUUUGGGUCAAGCAAAUGAGAGAUUUUAAGCCAUAUGGGGUCUUUAAUGGUUGGUUGGGACUCUCCUGUCCCAGAUCCUAAAUCACGUAAAUCAUCUAGCUUUUCCAUUUUAAUUGUCUUGUAGUUGGUGAUUUCUAAUAAGCGAAACUGGGUCGGCAGUAAAAUACAGGAAGAAUUGGCCAUUCACCAAGGGAGAGAUUGAUGCUUACUGGAAAUUAAAGAAGAAAAUAGAGGAGGAACAUCUCAGAGCAAUUCAGGUUUAAUUCUGCAACAUUUUUCACAAUAUUGAAGUCUGUUUGAUUCCAGGAAUACUAAAUAUGAUGACGACUGUGGAACGAAGCUUGAGAGAUCAAGCUUCUACCCGAGGCCAACACAAUGGGGAGUCUCAUGGACGUGGAAACUGGAAAAAGCUUGGAGGAACUCAUAAAGAAAAAUGGCUGGUGUAGUAGGAGCAACUGGGAAUUUCUAAACGAACCUCCUGUGUUGGAACGCUCUUCCAACACCUACACUGCGCAGUUUCACAUUGCCAAACUCGAAAACAAACAAUACUGCAAUUAGUGCUUAACGUUAGCUCUGCUUGCUAUAUAUAUGAAUGUAUAGAUUUAGAAUUUAAGCUACACUACCAACAGUGGUACAUUAAGAUGGUGUAAGCUGUAAAAUGAAUGUGUGUAAUGAGUAGAUUUUCUUGUAUCA